UUGGUUGAUGUUCAUAUAUAUUGUGUAACAAACUCGUCUCUAAACUCCUCUAUCUUGGGAGAGGAAACUCAGCAUUUUUAAGCCGUAGCAGCGCUGCACAUGAGUGGACUAUUACAGGCUAUGCCACAGGACUGUCCACCCUUUGACAGGUACUGCUGAUGAUACUCCUCAGCUCUGUAGAAUUUCUUAGCUGGUAGAAUCUCAGUCAUGAUCUUACUCUCCAUUUGUUGCUGGUGACGUUCCAUUGACUCUGCCGCUUGUUUCUCCUGCUCAGGUGUGUAGAAGUAUAUCCCUGAUCUGUAUUGGGUUCCCACAUCUUUUCCCUGAUAACAGUUCAAGUCAUUAGCCACGGUAAAAGUAGUCAAGGGAUAGUUUCACUACAUAGAUAUGUUAUUAUAAUAAGUAUUGUUCUCUAUCUAAAGUCUUAAAACUUUAAAAAUUUAGCAAUCUCCAACAUAAAAAGUUUAAAUCCUGGGACCAAGUUAAGAGAAACCC
rnacentral:lncRNA from 1 species